CAGUCGCCGCGGGAACACGAAGGGGGCUAGCGUUGUUCGGAAUCACUGGGCGUAAAGGGUGCGCAGGCUGGUUCUUAAGUCAGGGGUGAAAUCCCGAGGCUCAACCUCGGAACGGCCUUUGAUACUGGGGAUCUUGAGUCCAGAAGAGGAGAGUGGAAUUCCACGUGUAGCGGUGAAAUGCGUAGAGAUGUGGAGGAACACCAGUAGCGAAGGCGACUCUCUGGUCUGUAACUGACGCUGAGGAGCGGAAGCGUGGGGAGCGAACAGGAUUAGAUACCCCCGUAGUCCCUGUCUCUUAUAC
rnacentral:rRNA from 1 species